GUCGCCUGAAAAUCAUCCGUGGCCUGCUCCGUGGUCACGGGUGAGACCACGGCGCCCACAGCUACCAGAGGUCUUUAAGUAUAUCCCCCAUAGACUGAGUGUGGGGGAUAAAACCCAGGCCCCGACAAAU